rnacentral:ncRNA from 1 species
AGGUAUAAGGUGUAUUCACAUACUUAAUAGGGAAUUUGGUUAAAAUCCAAAGCUAACCCAGUAACUGUAAUCAAUGACAAACUAGAAAAUAUACUACUGAUAUAAAUCGGGAAGGUACUAGUGAGGAUGAGUUGUAAGCCAGGAGACCUGCCUAUACCA